rnacentral:rRNA from 1 species
GACGAACGCUGGCGGCAGGCUUAACACAUGCAAGUCGAGCGCCCCGCAAGGGGAGCGGCGGACGGGUGAGUAACGCGCGGGAAUCUGCCCUUUGGUGUGGGACAACCACGGGAAACUGUGGCUAAUACCGCAUGAGCCCGAGAGGGGAAAGCCGCAAGGCGCCGAGGGAUGAGCCCGCGUCGGAUUAGCUAGUUGGUAGGGUAACGGCCUACCAAGGCGAUGAUCCGUAGCUGGUCUGAGAGGAUGAUCAGCCACACUGGGACUGAGACACGGCCCAGACUCCUACGGGAGGCAGCAGUGGGGAAUAUUGGACAAUGGGGGAAACCCUGAUCCAGCCAUGCCGCGUGAGUGAUGAAGGCCUUCGGUUGUAAG